rnacentral:misc_RNA from 1 species
CGCACAUUGCGCCCAUUAGUAUUCUAGUGGGCAUGCCUGUUCGAGCGUCAUUUCAACCCUUAAGCUUAGCUUAGUAUUGGGAAUCUGCUUAACCGCAGCUCCUUAAAUCUAGUUGGCAGAGCACAGCUGUACUCUGAGCGUAGUAAUUUAUUAUCUCGCUUUCUGAAGACAGCAGUACGAUCGCCAUAAACCUAUUUAUUUUUUAAUGGUUGACCUCGGAUCAGGUAGGAAUACCCGCUGAACUUAA